UUUAAUUUGAUGUAUUUUUAAUGUUUCCUUGCAGGAAUGGAAAAUACGUCUGGAAGAAGAAAAGAAUCAAUUACAUUAUUAAUUGGCUUUUGUACAAGAUAGUAAGGUCAAUUGAGAGCUUUGGGACUAAGAGCUAGGAGAAAACAAGGAAAAGAGCUGAAAACGACGGGCAAAGAAAGUAGAAAAAAUAGCACAAACAGAAGAACCUGAGCAACGACGCUUCACUAAAGGAAGCCGCAACAAUUGAAGGCAGCUGCGGCGGGAGUUAAAGAAGUCGCGGCGCUCAACGAAAUUAUGGCGCGCGUGAGUCAGCGUAAAGAUGGAAUUUCUUCAGUUAUUGAGUCCUAGCUUAAAAACAAGAGACGUGAUAAAUAAAGAGGUGGAUCAUUAGGAAAGGAAAUUAUUAUUAUUGGUAUUAAUAUCAUCAUUGGGGGGGCUAACUUGGGGAGGAGGAGGAGAUUGAAGAUUUAGAGCGGAAUUCCAGAUUACUUCUUCAUCUUCAUCUUUACUUCUUGAUUAUUUAUCUUUGAUCUAUGAUGAUGGAAUCGAUGUUUUCUGUGUUUACUUCUAGUAUCAUGGGCUAAUUUUCUAUUCAAGAUUACAAUGGAACCCAAUGACUUUAUUUAAUUUAAUUAUUUCUAGUUGAUAUUAAUUAAUUAUUAUUAGGUUGUUUAUCGUAUUUUGUUGUGUAUGCAAUAGUUGUGUGGCCAGCAACUCAUUUUGUGAUCUAGAUGAUGUUGGAAUAUUGACUCUAGAUUGAAUGUGGAA
rnacentral:lncRNA from 1 species